GGUCCCAUGGUGUAAUGGUUAGCACUUUGGACUUUGAAUCCAGCGAUCCGAGUUCAAGUCUCGGUGGGACCU
rnacentral:tRNA from 2 species